rnacentral:lncRNA from 1 species
CUGCGCCUGACCUUUUUUUUUUUAAAUCUUUUGAGAGAGACGUAGUCUUGCUCUGUCUCCCAGGUUGGAGUGCAGUGGCCCAAGACUGUGCCAUUGCACUCCAACCUGGGCAACAAGAGCAAAACUCCGUCUCAAAAACAAACAAACAAACAAAACAUAAUAUGAGACUGGACACAGUGGCUCAUGCCUGUAAUCUUAACAGUUUGGUAGGCUGAGGUGGGCAGAUCACUUGAGCCCAGAAGUUCGAAACAAGCCAUGUCACCCAUGACAUGGCAAAACUCUGUCUCUACAGAAGAUAGAAAAAUUAGCCGGGUGUGGUGGUGCAUGCCUGUAGUCCCAGCUACUCAGGAGGCUGAGGUGAUCCUCCCACCUCAGCCCAGGAGGUUAAGGCUGCAGUGAGCUGUGAUCAUGCCACUGCACUCUAGCA